CUCCUGUGAUAUUAAGUCCUGGGAAGAAGCUGAGCAAUUCUGUGUAUCCCAGGAUUCCCAUCUGGCAACUGUGACUUCUGUGGGAGAACAGGAAUUUCUUUACAAAACUUUGAAGGGAGAGAGACAUUGGAUUGGGCUGAACGACAGACACACAGAAGACACCUGGACUUGGGUGGAUGGGACGGUUUAUGAUGCUGCCCAGAGCAAAGGGUUCUGGAUUCCAGGACAACCCACCAACUACCAGGGGAAAGAGGACUGUGUGGAGAUGAAGAUAGAGGCACUCGAAGCGUGG